AUUGAACGCUGGCGGCAGGCCUAACACAUGCAAGUCGAACGAGUGGCGGACGGGUGAGUAAUGUCUGGGAAACUGCCCGAGGGAGGGGGAUAACUACUGGAAACGGUAGCUAAUACCGCAAACCAGCGGAUGCGCAUAGAUGGGAUUAGCUAGUAGGUGGGGUAACGGCUCACCUAGGCGACGAUCCCUAGCUGGUCUGAGAGGAUGACCAGCCACACUGGGACUGAGACACGGUCCAGACUCCUACGGGAGGCAGCAGUGGGGAAUAUUGCACAAUGGGCGCAAGCCUGAUGCAGCCAUGCCGCGUGUAUGAAGAAGGCCUUCGGGUUGUAAAGUACUUUCAGCGGGGAGGCGUUACUCGCAGAAGAAGCACCGGCUAACUCCGUGCCAGCAGCCGCGGUAAUUC
rnacentral:rRNA from 1 species